UACGUAGGUGGCAAGCGUUGUCCGGAUUUACUGGGCGUAAAGAGCGCGCAGGCGGUCGUUCAAGUCGCGUGUGAAAGCCCCCGGCUCAACUGGGGGGGGUCACGCGAUACUGAUCGACUCGAAGGCAGGAGAGGGUUGUGGAAUUCCCGGUGUAGUGGUGAAAUGCGUAGAUAUCGGGAGGAACACCAGUGGCGAAGGCGGUGCUCUGGGCCGGAACUGACGCUGAGGAGCGAAAGCGUGGGGAGCAAACAGG
rnacentral:rRNA from 1 species